AGAAGUGGCCGUUAGAUAUUCAUCUGUCCACAGUUAGACAAACUGUCUAUAAAUGGAGAUGAUUUAGUACUAUAGGUACUCUCACUAGAAGUGGCCGUUAGAUAUUCAUCUGUCCACAGUUAGACAAACUGUCUAUAAAUGGAGAUGAUUUAGUACUAUAUGUACUCUCUCUAGAAGUGGCCGUUAGAUAUUCAUCUGUCCACAGUUAGACAAACUGUCUAUAAAUGGAGAUGAUUUAGUACUAUAGGUACUCUCACUAGAAGUGGCCGUUAGAUAUUCAUCUGUCCACAGUUAGACAAACUGUCUAUAAAUGGAGAUGAUUUAGUACUAUAUGUACUCUCUCUAGAAGUGGCCGUUAGAUAUUCAUCUGUCCACAGUUAGACAAACUGUCUAUAAAUGGAGGUGAUUUAGUACUAUAGAUACUCUCACUAGAAGUGGCCAUUAGAUAUUCAUCUGUCCACAGUGAGAUAAACUGUCUAUAAAUGGAGGUGAUUUAGUACUAUAGAUACUCUCUCUAGAAGUGUCCGUUAGAUAUUCAUCUGUCCACAGUGAGACAAACUGUCUAUAAAUGGAGGUGAUUUAGUACUAUAGGUACUCUCUCUAGAAGUGGCCGUUAGAUAUUCAUCUGUCCACAGUGAGACAAACUGUCUAUAAAUGGAGAUGAUUUAGUACUAUAGAUACUCUCACUAGAAGUGGCCGUUAGAUAUUCAUCUGUCCACAGUGAGACAAACUGUCUAUAAAUGGAGAUGAUUUAGUACUAUAGGUACUCUCUCUAGAAGUGUCCGUUAGAUAUUCAUCUGUCCACAGUGAGACAAACUGUCUAUAAAUGGAGAUGAUUUA